rnacentral:tRNA from 1 species
CAAGACAUAGCUAUAAACCUAAAGCAUUCAGCUUACACCUGAAAGAUAUCUUCAAACAAGAUUGUCUUGA